rnacentral:tRNA from 1 species
GGGCUCGUAGCUCAGUAGGAUAGAGCGACGGCCUCCUAAGCCGUAGGUCUGCGGUUCAACUCCGCACGAGCCCGCCA